rnacentral:lncRNA from 1 species
CUGAUUACAACUAAAGAUGAUAUUAGCUACUUGUUUGAUAUUUCUAUUCAAAUCCCCCUAUUUAGUUUUCCAAUUUUACCUUUUGAUUACAAUAGAUAGGAGCUAGGAUCCUACGUAUUCCCUUGGUAUUUGAGCCCAACCUUUAUUAGGUUACUAUAUUGGACAGUGACUGUUUAAUCUUCAGAGUAAAGGUAUAUCUUGGGUGUUAUAAAUUUUGGCUUCAUUAUCAAGGAAUAC